rnacentral:misc_RNA from 1 species
UCAUUUAGAGGAAAGAGAAGCUGUAACAAGGUUUCCAUAGGUGAACCUGCGGAAGGAUCAUUGCCGAGACUCGACGAGCCAAACCCGCGAACACGUGAACUCAUCGCGCGCUGGAGCAUGUGCGGCCCCACCAACCUGCUCCGGUGCCAUCGCCCGAACCCCUGUGUCAUCGAGACUAGCGACUGUGGGGCGGUGGGAGGACCGAACCCAGCGCGGAUGGCGCCAAGGAACCUUGAGCGUGGAGGCACGCCUUCCGCCCCGCCCCUUGCUUGCACAGGGCCGGCAUCGCAGGGUACCACCGAUGGCAAAGCCUCUGGGCUUUCACGGUAUGACUCUAGGCAACGGAUAUCUCGGCUCUCGCAUUGACGAAGAACGUAGUGAAAUGCGAUACGUGGUGCGAAUUGCAGAAUCCCGCGAACCAUUGAGUCUUCGAACGCAAGUUGCGCCUAAGGCCAUCCGAUCGAGGGCAUGCCUGCCUGGGCGCCAACCGAAGCGGCGCUCCACUCCCCCGGGUUCCCUAUGGUCCUCAGGGGUUGCUGAACGUGGACGAUGGCCCCCCACGCUGAGCGUGCGUGGCAUGCCAAAGAUUGGGCCAUAGGCUAGGCUGGAUGCGGCGGGUGGUGGACGCGCCCGCGAUCUCAUCGCCGUGCCUCCGAACCCCAGCCCUUAGGGCCCGCAUCACCCAGGAUUGCCAGCAUCGCCAAAGACCCGGUCCAGGGCGUCUCCCUUAAAAUCCAACCCCAGGUCAGGCGGGGCCACCCGCUGAGCUUAAGCAUAUC